GAUCAUGCUAGUUCUACGCGUGGUUGCACUGUAUUUUCACGAAUUGUAGUUCCUGUGGUAAUGAAUCCAUGUGCCAGAUGGACAGUCGGGUUGAAUCUCUGGACAACAACAGAACCUUAGUUGGUAGAGCUGAUGUUUCUUAUAGGAAAACUGUAAAUGUAUCUCCUUCGAAACACAUCUUUGUUGAUCCAUGACCCAAGAUUUCCUUCAACUUUACGGAUAGCCAAAGUGUACCCAAGUCAAAUAUUUG
rnacentral:misc_RNA from 1 species